rnacentral:rRNA from 1 species
GACGAACCGUGCGAACGUUAUUCGGAAUCACUGGGCUUAAAGGGCGCGUAGGCGGAUCAGCAAGUCCGGGGUGAAAUCUUUCGGCUCAACCGGAAAAGGGCCUUGGAUACUGCUGGUCUGGAGGGAGGUAGGGGCAGCUGGAACUUCCGGUGGAGCGGUGAAAUGCGUUGAUAUCGGAAGGAACUCCGGUGGCGAAGGCGAGCUGCUGGACCUCUUCUGACGCUGAGACACGAAAGCGUGGGUAGCAAACAGG